rnacentral:lncRNA from 1 species
AAUAUUUUUGAGAAUCUUAAUGUAUUUUUCUGAGUACUUUUGAUAUUUUUAGGUCCUAGGGUUAGGGUUCUUGUUUUUAACAUCUUAGAAGCCAAUUUCACAAAAGCUGUUAUAUAAUUUCGAUUAACUUUACAUUCCUUGGCAGUCUGCAUGCUAGUUAAAAAUGAUUAAAAAGUUUUAAUACUUAAUUAAUCAUUGUUAAUUAAGCAUUUGAGUGCUUGGAAGAAAAUGAUUCCUUCUUUCUGGAAAAUGUUUAGUCUUACCCAUGAAUACUAAUUAAAGGUUAGUCUUCAGUAUUUGUCACCAUAUCUACAUACUGUUUACAGUGUUUGUCAAUAUGAAUUAUAGGUCCUUCAAUCCUUGGAUUAUUGUUAAUGAUUCCUUCUGUGCCUAGUAAUGAGAGCAUUGUAGUUCUGUCAUUCUAGAUUCAUCUCUGUUUGUUGAAUUUCCAUUUGUUUACCUUCUUGGAUAUACUAUGAAUAUGUUUACUUAUUAUUUUUUAUUGCAGCAUUUUUGCUUGGUCUUUGAUUAAAUUAAAUGCUAGCAGAUUUCACAUGAAUGAAAUGUUAUGUGAAGAUUCACACACACACACAUAUAUAUAUAUGUAUUGUCUUUUAAAUUCUAGAUUAUCUGUGUUUUUGCAACCACUCAAUAGGUAUUGUCUCAUUUGAUGUCAUUUUGUUUGAUCUUUAGAUCUGAUGGAAUAUUGUUGUUGUAACAUUUUUUGUUCAAAAUGUUCUUAUAUGCAAUGUACCAAUUUUGGACUAAGAAUAAUGAAGAUGUAUGGUUUGAGAAAUAGUUUAAGAGAGCUUCCUUCAGUCCACUCAUGGAUGGGUAGAGGGUUUGAAUUAUCUGCUGACUCAUUCAUUCAAACACAAUAGAAUUGACUUGAUGGUAUGCUAUUGUGAAUGUGUGAAUGAUGCAGGAGGUAAAAUUCAUCCUUUUCUUGUCUUUGCUUGGACUGAAGGGAGCUCCCUUUUAAUAUUUAUGUCAUUAUAUUAUAGUAACAUUUUUUUUAUCAUGAUUUACCUUUUCUUCAUCUUCUCAUUAUCUCUAUAUAUACCUCUUUUUUGUUGAUAUUUUUUUUUAUCUCUAUAUAUAACUCUUUAGUCAAGACUUGCUCAUGUUUCAGUGAUUUCUUCACUUUUUCCACAUACUCUUUGGCAUGAAAGAAUGUCCAAUUUCAUUUGAAUGUCAUCCAAUGAAAUCUGAAACUAAAAACUAAUGGUUUAUUAUAGUCAUUACUUGUUAUGGAAAUUAUACUCAAAGAACUUUUGUAUUUUAUUUGUGUUCAUUUAGCAAUCUCAGUUAUCGUUUACAAAUUAUCGUUGAAGAGUUUAUUUUUUUCUUUAACUUAUUCCCCCUGAUUUAUUUCAUGCAUUGGAAGAACUCAUUAAUCAGGAAGUUUUUUUUUUAAAUAGGUAGUAUAAAUUAGCUGGCCAAAAUCUAACAAUUUAAAUCUGUUGCAUAUAAUUUUUUUUAAUGAAGCUGAAAUUUAUUUACAUUGUUCUCAAACUUUCAAUCACUUUAAUUAUUAACAUAUUUACACCCUCUUUGCUUUAAAACCAUAAGCUUAGUGGGUAGUAAUGGUUUUGUGUUGGAUUUGGGGAAAUUUGUGGGAUGAAUUUACCUGUAUGAGGGAAAUAAGAAACAAGCUGUGAAGUUUUUAUGUUUAGGAAGCUCUUAGAAAUGCAAUUUCCUUUAACAUAUCCUAUUUUGGUUAUAAUUUAUAGAAAAUUAAAUUCAGAGUAAAAAGUUGAUCUUGCUAGUUUUACUAGUUUUAUUGUAACUUUUAAUAAACUAGAGAAAAUGUUUCAAUAAUUUCUUUUUUUGUCUUUUGUAACUUGAUUGCAAAUUUGACGGUGUUGUAGAUUUUUUUUUAUACUGAAAGCUUUGGUAUGUAUUUGACCACAUAUGUAGAUGGUGAAAAUUGAAUUAGGUUAUUACCUUGUUUUUCCAGUAUCAUAAGAGUUAUUUAUUGUUUUUGUAUGGUACUUACUACUUACCAAUGCUAUCACAUGAUUUGUCAUGCACAAGAUAAGAUUCUUACAACAUCUAAAGUAUUGUUAGUAGUUCAGAUUUUGUACAUUUACAUGAUGUUGCCAUUAUCCUAAACAGUGAUGUGGACCCCAUAUUGUCUCAUAAUUUUGAAUGUACAAUAUACAUGCUUGGCACAUAAUAUAGUAUAUGAAAAUUGAUCUUCCACCAACUAUGCCCUUAAUUUUUAGUUUAGGUAUGCAUGGAUUUAUAGCUUCCUAAAUCAUUUAUGCAACAAAUUCUUUUCUCUGUAGCUUUACAUCUUGAGAUUUUUCAGUAGGUUGAUGAAUUUAAUUUGAAUGGUUUACUUUAUAUAUAUUAUGUAGGAAUAUUCUAUCUUAUCAACUAAACUGAUUAAUUGAAGAUAUUGAGUUAAUUAAUUUAGAGGCAAUAAAACCAUUCUGGGAAAAAUUCAAGUGGCCCAUGUUAUACAUAUUAGGUUAGAGUAUCAAAAUGCGAAAAAAAUGAAUAUUUUAUAUUUAAUAUAAAUAUAUUUUUAUGGAUUAAUAUUUUUUUUACUUUUAUAACAUUUAAAAAUAUAAAGUUCUUUAAAAAAUAUUAUUUUUUACUUUAUAUUUAGUUUUCUCUUGAUUAAGAAGUUAGUGUCACUGAAAUUAUUUUAAUUCUUAUGAUUUUAUAAAAUAAAUAAUUCUAAUAUCCAUUAGAGACAAUGUAUAGUUCUAAAUGUAAGAUAUAUUUAAAACAAAUAAUUAAAUAAUAGCUAUUGGAAUUGCUUUGUAUAUAUCAAGUUCUUUUGAAUUCAAAUGUAAAAUCGGUUUUUAAGUGAUACUAAUUUUUAACUAUCUACAUUUUAUUUAAUAUUAUUGUGUUAAGAUUGUCUGCAUGUUUAAUAUUGGUCAUCGAUUUUAAUGAUUACGACUUGAGAUGAUUUAGAAAUUAUAAUUUUCAUAUUAUAAAUUAAAAAUAUGAAUGUGAAUUUGUGUAUAAAUGAAGAAAGUUAAAAAAAUGCUAUUUUGGAAAAAUAUAUUUAUAUAAAUAGUAUAAUGUUUUACAAAUAUCUUUAAAAUAUAAAAUAUAUGUAGAAAUAAUUUCAAUUUAAAUAUGGAAGUAAUUUUUAUAAUGCAUUUUAUUUUGUUAUUUAGGUGCAAUAUAAGUUAUAUAUACUAUAUUUUAAUUUUAGUAAUAUAAAGUUUUAUGGUUUUAACGUCUGUGACAUGUGGUCAUUAUUAGUUUUGACAAUUUUUGAUGUCAUAUUUUUUGUGUUCAGCUAUCACUUAACAGUGACACUAAUUAUAGUAAAUUAAUUUUUCUAUUCCAAGAAUUAAAGUGAAAAAUGAAAAAGUAUUUCAGUGUCAAAUCACAUCAGUAAAUUAGAAAGAUGUAAGUAGAAUAUUCAAAAAAAAAUUAUCAACAUACCCCUCUUAAUCUUUUUUAUUUUCUCCUAUUCACUUUUUUAUUUUUAUUAUUUAUUAGUCAUCUCAUUUUUACUGAUUGAUAUUGAUUUUGGUUGGCUAGCUGGCUCUAAACUCUGUCACAGAUGCCUCACAAAUAUACUACCUAUCUACAUUGAUUGCAGGGUAGUGUGUGUCUGGUGUGUGUAUAUGUAUGUUAUAUAUGUAUAUAUGUGUAUCACUUUAUUUCAAAACACCAACAAAAGCCAACUUUGGUCUCUUUUAGAACCCAAAGGUUUGGCUCUUAGUUGGAACUCAAAGACCACCAAUGCAUAGAAUAGGGUCAAGUUAGCCUGUGAUUGUAACACAUUUUACUGUGAUGUGUCAAUUUCAGGUACUGUUGUUGCAGAACAAUCAUCAUGAAAGGUGCACUAUGAGAUUGAGAAGCAACCUGGACUCAUUGGAUACUAAAUGAUAAUAAAAUGAGAAGAAAACAUACAUACAUAGCAUGAUGCAUUGUCAUACUCUUUCAAUUUCCUUUUAUGAAAAGAAAAGAGAAUUCUUUGUUGCAUAUAUAAAUGGUUACUGAUGAACCUUCCAGUGUUGCAGUGUCUGAAAUUAAAUAUUACAAACUCUGUCUUCUUGUCCAUCAGUCUGAACUUGGGUCUAGGAAGUUGGAACUUGGAGCUACACAGUUCUUCUACUAUUAUGUUGAAAUUUAUAAAUAUUUGAAUCAAUAUGGAGUUUACCCUAAACUAAUGAUCAUUUUUCUUAUAUUCUUUACCAUGGAAUUCAUUUUUUUUAAAGAGAAUAACAGAUAAAAAAGAGUUAAGAGUUUGUAUAUUUGAGUAUUUAAAUUGUUUUAGAACUGGUGGGAUAUCUAUUCUCAAACAGAGAACAUGUUCUUUAGGGUGUCAUUUUUUGACAAUUUAAAUAUGAUAUUUUUGGGGUUCUAAAAGGUUUUGGCAAAAGUACUUUUUCUUGAGUUCCAACUCUUGAGGCAAUAGUUCCAAUAUGGAAUAAUAUUAUUUAAGUAGGUUUGCAUGUGUUUAACUGAACUAGCUUAAAAAUUAAGUGAGUUUCUUUAGGAGUUCGAGGUGCAAGUACGCAUGAACUGGAUAUUUUACAUUUCUUUACUAUUUAAUGACUUAAUGCUGGAUGUUUCAGGAG